AACAUCUUCGGACUAGAGACUCCUUUCUUUUUUGACAGUUACCUGCUGUUGCGGUCUACUCUUCACCUACUGCUGUGUUAUAGAGAACAAAGGACGGACCUUGGAACAAAUCGAGUCCUCCUUUAGAACAGGACAUUGUUUAUUCAUGAGAUAGGAGAAAAAACAUCCAUUACUCUCACUAACCAUUUCACAGAAAGACGUUAAUAAUGUUUCAAGAUACUAAAGGAGGUCAUCCAUUCACCCAAUUAACUAAUGAGGUGUGCUCGCUGUGUUUUCUGGAGUCAGCUUACUGGUCCCCAAAAGCAAAGUGAGACACCAGGGAACAAACACACAAUAUCAAGACAGGAACCUGUAUUAGAUACUGUCCAUUGGAUUAUGAACACUUGGGAGGCCUAUGGCCUGUGUUCAUUACGCAAGAGCUGAGAUAG